rnacentral:rRNA from 1 species
AGGGAAUCUUCCGCAAUGGACGAAAGUCUGACGGAGCAACGCCGCGUGAGUGAUGAAGGUUUUCGGAUCGUAAAACUCUGUUGUUAGGGAAGAACAAGUACCGUUCGAAUAGGGCGGUACCUUGACGGUACCUAACCAGAAAGCCACGGCUAACUACGUGCCAGCAGCCGCGGUAAUACGUAGGUGGCAAGCGUUGUCCGGAAUUAUUGGGCGUAAAGCGCGCGCAGGCGGUUUCUUAAGUCUGAUGUGAAAGCCCCCGGCUCAACCGGGGAGGGUCAUUGGAAACUGGGGAACUUGAGUGCAGAAGAGGAGAGUGGAAUUCCACGUGUAGCGGUGAAAUGCGUAGAGAUGUGGAGGAACACCAGUGGCGAAGGCGACUCUCUGGUCUGUAACUGACGCUGAGGCGCGAAAGCGUGGGGAGCGAAC